rnacentral:rRNA from 1 species
UACGGAGGGUGCAAGCGUUAUCCGGAAUCACUGGGUUUAAAGGGUGCGUAGGCGGCUAAAUAAGUCAGAGGUGAAAGCUUGCGGCUUAACUGCGAUAUUGCCUUUGAUACUGUAUAGCUUGAAAGGAGCUGAGGUCAGCAGAAUGUGGCAUGUAGCGGUGAAAUGCAUAGAUAUGUCAUAGAAUACCAAUUGCGAAGGCAGCUGGCUGGGCUUACUUUGACGCUGAGGCACGAAAGCGUGGGGAUCGAACAGG